AUGGUUUAACAGGCAGGUGGUUCCAAGAAGGUUCUUCAUCUCCUGCCCCGGUAAGGAGAUGGUUUUUGCUUUGAUGGCAGAGGGACACAUUAGAGGGGAUCGAUUUACAGCAAUUAUAAAUCGUUAGAAUCAGUUCAGUGGGGGUGUUCAUCAUAAAUUAAAGUACAAGGUUCAUGCUAUCUUGAAAGAUUUGUCCUUGUUCUGUUGGACAAUGGAGGCCGUAUUUUAGGCUUUGCGAUACCUUAUCGAGCC
rnacentral:lncRNA from 1 species